AUUGAACGCUGGCGGCAUGCUUUACACAUGCAAGUCGAGCGAAGUUUUUCUGGUGCUUGCACCGGAAAAACUUAGCGGCGAACGGGUGAGUAACACGUAAAGAACCUGCCUCAUAGACUGGGACAACUAUUGGAAACGAUAGCUAAUACCGGAUAACAGCAUUAACUGCAUGGUUGAUGUUUAAAAGUUGGUUUUGCUAACACUAUGAGAUGGCUUUGCGGUGCAUUAGCUAGUUGGUGGGGUAAAGGCCUACCAAGGCGACGAUGCAUAGCCGACCUGAGAGGGUGAUCGGCCACACUGCGACUGAGACACGGCCCAGACUCCUACGGGAGGCAGCAGUAGGGAAUCUUCCGCAAUGGGCGAAAGCCUGACGGAGCAACGCCGCGUGAGUGAAGAAGGAUUUCGGUUCGUAAAGCUCUGUUGUUAGGGAAGAAUGAUUGUGUAGUAACUAUACACAGUAGAGACGGUACCUAACCAGAAAGCCACGGCUAACUACGUG
rnacentral:rRNA from 1 species